rnacentral:rRNA from 2 species
UAAUCUGAGCGUCUUAUUUUAAUAAGUCAAAACUUUCAACAACGGAUCUCUUGGUUCUGGCAUCGAUGAAGAACGCAGCGAAAUGCGAUACGUAAUGUGAAUUGCAGAAUUCAGUGAAUCAUCGAAUCUUUGAACGCACAUUGCGCCCAUUAGUAUUCUAGUGGGCAUGCCUGUUCGAGCGUCAUUUCAACCCUUAAGCCUAGCUUAGU